GUGGGGAAUCUUGCGCAAUGGGCGAAAGCCUGACGCAGCCAUGCCGCGUGAAUGAUGAAGGUCUUAGGAUUGUAAAAUUCUUUCACCGGGGACGAUAAUGACGGUACCCGGAGAAGAAGCCCCGGCUAACUUCGUGCCAGCAGCCGCGGUAAUACGAAGGGGGCUAGCGUUGCUCGGAAUUACUGGGCGUAAAGGGCGCGUAGGCGGACAGUUUAGUCAGAGGUGAAAGCCCAGGGCUCAACCUUGGAAUUGCCUUUGAUACUGGCUGUCUUGAGUACGGGGGAGGUGAGUGGAACUCCGAGUGUAGAGGUGAAAUUCGUAGAUAUUCGGAAGAACACCAGUGGCGAAGGCGACUCACUGGCCCGUUACUGACGCUGAGGCGCGAAAGCGUGGGGAGCAAACAGGAUUAGAAACCCUUGUAGUCC
rnacentral:rRNA from 1 species